rnacentral:rRNA from 1 species
CGUUUACCACGGUAUGAUUCAUGACUGGGGUGAAGUCGUAACAAGGUAACCGUAGGGGAACCUGCGGUUGGAUCACCUCCUUACCAAA